rnacentral:rRNA from 1 species
AUGGGCUUCAGCCCGUCGGUGAGGAGGUGGAGGCAGGCCGCGGGGCGCAUGCUGGGCCGCGAGCGAAGCAGACGAGGCCUCGCGCAGCGAGUGGCACUAGUCCAGGCUGGUGCUAGACUGGUCAACACGGGGCGCGGCUCCGUCGUCCUCCUCUCGAACGGCGGCAGCGCAGGACUUGGGGACGAGCGCUCCUGCAACGGGCGGCGCUGGCCUUGGAGAUCUGGCACGGGAGGUCACGCACGCGAGGCAGGGGCCGGAGACGAAACGAGGGAGGCGGCACUGCGGGACUUGAGGCGCGAGGCGAAGCAGAAGACGGCGCUGAGCUCGUUCCCGAGCAGGGGUGCAACACGGGCAUGGCUCUCGCUCGAGCAGCGCAUGGGAAGAAGGCACGACGGCAUCGGCGGCUAG